CCUGCGCCGAAAAUGUCCGGGGCUCAAACUUACCACCGAAGCUACGGGUUCACGCUUAUGCGUGAGCGGUAGAGGAGCGUCGUAAUCGGGCUGAAGUCGUACCGUAAGGAGCGGUGGACUGAUUACGAGUGAGAAUGUUGGCAUUAGUAGCGAGAUGUAGGCGAGAAUCCUACAGGCCGAAUAUCUAAGGUUUCCUGAGUAAAGUUUGUCUUCUCAGGGUUAGUCGGGACCUAAGGCGAGGCCGAAAGGCGUAGUCGAUGGACAAUUGGUUGAUAUUCCAAUACCACUAUAAUCGUUAUUAUCGAUGGUGUGACGGAGAAGGAUAGGAUGUGCUAGCUAUUGGAUGCUAGUCUAAGCGUUUAGGGAGUUGGGAUUGGCAAAUCCGUUCCAACAAUUCUGAGGCGUGAUGGGGAAGGUUCUACGGAACCGAAGUAUCUGAUUCCAUGCUUCCAAGAAAAGCAUCUAGAGAGAGAAGUAGUGCCCGUACCGCAAACCGACACAGGUAGAUGAGGAGAGAAUCCUAAGGCCGACGGAAGAAUUGCAGUUAAGGAACUAGGCAAAUUGACCCCGUAACUUCGGGAGAAGGGGUGCCUGAGAAAUCAGGCCGCAGAGAAUAGGCACAAGCAACUGUUUAACAAAAACACAGGUCUCUGCUAAAGCGAAAGCUGAUGUAUAGGGGCUGACGCCUGCCCGGUGCUGGAAGGUUAAGGGGAUCACUUAGCGCAAGCGAAGGUGUGAACUUAAGCCCCAGUAAACGGCGGCCGUAACUAUAACGGUCCUAAGGUAGCGAAAUUCCUUGUCAGGUAAGUUCUGACCCGCACGAAUGGCGUAAUGACUUGGGCACUGUCUCAACAACAAAUCCGGCGAAAUUGUAGUGCAAGUGAAGAUGCUUGCUACCCGCGAUUGGACGGAAAGACCCCGUAGAGCUUUACUGUAGCUUAGCAUUGAAUUUCGGUAUUGUCUGUACAGGAUAGGUGGGAGACUGGGAAACUAGGGCGUCAGCCUUGGUGGAGUCGUUGUUGGGAUACCACCCUGAUAGUAUUGAAGUUCUAACUGGAUGCCAUGAAACUGGUGACAGGACAUUGUUAGGUGGGCAGUUUGACUGGGGCGGUCGCCUCCUAAAAUGUAACGGAGGCGCCCAAAGGUUCCCUCAGAACGGUCGGAAAUCGUUCGAAGAGUGUAAAGGCAGAAGGGAGCCUGACUGCGACACCUACAAGUGGAGCAGGGACGAAAGUCGGGCUUAGUGAUCCGGUGGUACCUCGUGGGAGGGCCAUCGCUCAACGGAUAAAAGCUACCUCGGGGAUAACAGGCUGAUCUCCCCCAAGAGUCCACAUCGACGGGGAGGUUUGGCA
rnacentral:rRNA from 1 species